GUGCUCACUUCAGCAGCACAUAUACUAAAAUUGGAAUGAUAUAGAGAAGAUUACCAUGGCCUCU
ensembl:snRNA U6 U6 spliceosomal RNA